rnacentral:lncRNA from 11 species
AGAGACUGAAAGAAGCUCUAUACUGCAAUCUUGCAGGUCAAGCCUUAUACUGUCCACAGAAAUCCAGGAGGUUAGUCACAGAUGGAUAAAAUUGAAGGGUUGUUUUGAUAGAAAGGAAUAAGAGUGGGGAGCAGUGACUGGAAGGGAAGAGAGUGGCACUGGAAACUUCAGGAAGGAAGGAAAGAUUACUCUGGUUCAGUCCUUGUUGCCCUUCAGUUCUAGCAAGAGAUGAUGGCAUAUCCAAACCGUAUGGGAUCUCUUCAUGCAAGACAAAGCAAAGAUUACCACAAGUGGGUUAGCUCCAAAGGCACUGAAAGAUGGUACAUGCAAAGAAGGAUGCAGGAGAAAAAUGUACCAGGAAAACCAUUGCUUGACUAUCAACAGCAUCUCCACAGUUUGCUGGGCUCCGAGGAAGCCUCAUACUUCUUGCAUCCUCCACCAGCCAAGGAAAAGCCAAUGAGCCCCCGAGUCAAGCGCCUGCUGUUGGUCAGUCUAGGUCUGGGUGCUGAGGAAGUCUGGAAGGCUCUGCACGAAGAACCAAAGCGCCGACGUGAAGUUGCAGCUGCUAAGAAGGGCCUCUUGCUUUCUCAGCAGGUACCUUGGCUGGGACGUCCUGCUACGACACACCGGCUGCAGCAAGUGGCUCAUUGGCGAAAACAGCUGCAUGAAAUGCACCACAUUGGGAAGCAGAACCAGCGUACAGCAAGCCACCUCCUGGCAAGCAAACACCUCAUGGACCUCAGUGACACUUACGGAAAAGAAGGACCAACCCGAUAUUUCAUAUUCAAUUAAAAUCCAUUAUUAUUUCAUUUCAGCUAUUGAAAAAGGUGAUUAUAUAAGGCAACUUGCAUUUAACAGUCUGUGUCUAUCUGUUUCUUUGUUUAUGAUGCACUUCAACAAUGUAUAGCCUUUCGUCUGAAAUAGUUUGGCUAUUACAAUAUGAAGGAGGGGAGGUACCUCUGGGGGUGUUCAAGAAGGUAACUGUGUGAGUAUAGCCUUGAAAACAAGAGAUUCCUCACUCUUCUAGCUGAAUAAUGUUUGGAACAAUACACUUACACAACUAAAGAUACAUCUUUAUCUGAACAGAGCUUGUGGGUUCUGGAAAAUGCAAUCCAAAAGCAGUUUUUGAAGUUCUGCAUCAGAGUGCCUGUAGACAUUAGGUAAAAAGGUAAAGGUUUCCCCUGACGUUAAGUCCAGUCAUGUCGGACUCUGGGAGUUGGUGCUCAUCUCCAUUUCUAAGCCGAAGAGCCGGCGUUGUCCGUAGACACCUCCAAGGUCAUGUGGCUGGCAUGACUGCAUGGAGGGCUGUUACCUUCCUGCCGGAGUGGUAUGUAUUGAUCUACUCAUAUUUGCAUGCUUUCAAACUGCUAGGUUGGCAGAAGCUGGAGCUAACAGCUGGCGCUCACGCCGUUCCUGGGAUUUGAACCUGGGACCUUUCAGUCUGCAAGUUCAGCAGCUCAGUGCUUUAACACACUUCGUCACUGGGGCAUUAGGUACUCCAGUACAAAUUACAAUCUGCUGUCUUAUUGUUGAAAUAAUUUAAAGGUUUGGAUUUUUGGACGGCACUAUUUCAGUAGUGUUCUCCAAAAAUCCAAACUCUAAAAAUCAGAGCCUGGCUGGAUGAUGCCAAUGCCUUUCUGUACUUUUGAUGCAGGAAUCUGUGAGAAAUUUCACCUGGUUUUCCUCCUGCCGCACAAUGGGCACAAGUCACCAGGACUUCCUCAUCAGCCAAGCUACAGGAGCUGAACAAUAGGUCAGGAAUACCAAUAACAGCUGUACUGGCAGCCUACCAUACAGGGUCAUAAUAUUUCCCACUGUUUCACCAAGGGAAUCCCAUCCCCUUAAGCCCAUUUCACCUGGUUAUCCCCAAACUAGCACCCAGUUUACUGCCACCAGCCUAAAGGAGAUGGACUCAGACAGACUCCUCCAACAAAAACGUUAUUAACAUUUCUGCCAUACACACUCUGCCAAUCACAAACUAUAAAACACUAGCUGUGCCCGGCCACGUGUUGCUGUGGCAAAGUGGUGGUGGUAUUGGUUAAAAAAUUUUGUGUAAUUUUUAUUUGACGUUAUUUGCAUUUUUUAAAUUAAUUUUAUUGUAAGUUAUAUUUUUAUUUAUUAUAUUUUAUUAUUUUCUUGUAUUAUUUUUAGUCAUUUUCUGUUAUUUUAGUAUUUUAUUGUAUUAAUUUUUUUAGUGUUUUUUAUUAAUUUUUUUGGGUUGCUAGGAGACCAAGUUGGAGGAGCUUAGCCUUCUAACUGGCAGCAAUUGGAUAAAAGCAAUUAUUCCUCUCUCUCUAAUUAGGACUUUAUUUUUCUUUUCUUUUUGUUGUAUCAACCUAGAGGCAUGGAUGAUGGGUUGUGUUGUCAUAUUUCGAGGUUGGGGGGCCUGUAGUUUUGUUGUUUUGUGGGUCGCCGUGAUGCCACCACUCUUUUAUAUAUAUAGAUGACAACAAUGAAGGUACUUUGAAACAAUAAGACAACGGAUCAUAAUUUGUGCCAAUGAAAGCAAUAUCUAUUAUUUUUAAAUGUCUAUAAAAUACUGGUUUAUGUAAACAGAGGACAUGUCAGAUCUGGGAUUUCUUCCCUGACAUCCUUUGGCCAUUGAAGCAACAAACCUCUGAUUCUGGUCUCAUCUCUGCAUGUCUCGAUUAGGAAACAUUGGAGCUGGCACACUGAGAACCAACCCCAGGAUUUGGGACAGCAGUAGCAUUUCCAAAUUGUUGUUGUUGUUUGUCUUCAGAUAUUUCCAACAUAUGGUGACACUAAGGCAAACGUAUCACAGAGACAAAACUUAUUCAGAGAGGGUUUGCCUUUGCCUUUUUUGGAGGCUAAGUGUGCAUGCUUUGCCCAAGGUCAUGAAGUGGACUUCUAUGGCUGAGUGGGAAUUUGAAUCCUGGGCACUUCUACAUUAGCCACUUAAGGCAGGGUUAAGCCUACAGAGGGGGAAGUGAAUUCAAAAUGGAGCUUAUUUUUUAUCGCGUCAGAAGCGACUUGAGAACAUACUGCAAGUUGCUUCUGGUGUAAGAUAAUUGGCUGUCUACAGAGAUGAUACCCAGGGGAUGCCCAGAUGUGUUUCCAUCCUACUGGGAGGCUUAUCUCAUGUCCCCGCAAGCUAGAGCUGACAGACGGGAUCUGACCCUGUUUUGCAGAUUCGAACUGGCAUCCUUCAGGUCAGCAGUCCAACUGGCACAAGGCUUUAACCUUGUAAUGGAACUGAUUACAUGUGAGUCAAGUCUUGGAUGGUGCUUAUAUGCACCACAGAGGAUGACUUCAACCUAGUUCCAAGAUCUGCCAUAUGUGUAGCUUCCAGCCCCCGAUGGCGUAGUGGAUUAAAGCCUUGUGACUUGAAGGUUGGGUUGCUGAUCUGAAAGCUGCCAGGUUUGAAUCCCACCCGGAGAGAGCGUGGAUGAGCUCCCUCUAUCAGCUCCAGCUCCAUGCGGGGACAUGAGAGAAGUCUUCCACAAGUAUGGUAAAAACAUCAAAACAUCCGGGCGUCCCCUGGGCAACGUCCUUGCAGACGGCCAAUUCUCUCACACCAGAAAUGACUUGCAGUUUCUCAAGUCACUCCUGACACGAAAAAAAAGCUUCCAGCCAUGGAAGAAUUCUGGUUUUAUUUUUCAACCUCCCCUGCACCACAAUAUGUCACCUGUCCCUUAAUCAGUUUCACCAUGCAAUGUGGUUUACACUUACGUUUACUGAUGCCCAUUAUGGGCUCUGUUUCAAAAUAUCCCCCAUUUUUGCUUAUCCCAUUUUAAAGCCUUCAGUGUGUACUGUUGUGCAUGUUUGCAGCGUGUGUCAUUUGGACAAACUGCCUUUAAACCACAUUAAGUGUUCAGUGUAGAUGUGACCUUAGUCUCCAGAUUCGUAGCUCGAUGCCUAAACCACUAUAGCAUGCUGGCUCUUCAAAGUCUGUUCAACUGUAAAGAGCUCUCACAUAGGCAAAGUGCGGAUCCAGUGUAGACAUGCCAACUUGGAAAGAAGCCCCCAUAAAAAUGCUUUCACUACAAGUUCUGUUUUAAUUGAAAAGUAAAUACCCUUCCCAAUGUCGGGGGAAGAGAGAUCAAAGCAGGGUGCAUAAAGUUUAAAUGGGUUUGUUGAAGUUUUGCACUUAUCUCCAGUCACUAACUGGGGCUAAAAUGUUGAAUUUCCUUUCAGAAAGGAAAAGGGGAAGAUCAGUGAAACUGGCAAUACGUGUUGGGUGUUUCCUGUACAUACUACUGGGAAAAAGGGACAUGCCCCCGAAGAACACGUUUAUGGGCUGAAGGUUUGCUCUCCCUUUUGUUUGUGAAAAGGCAAGUUCAGCCAUAUUAAAAACUACAAAAAUACCAUAA